rnacentral:misc_RNA from 1 species
GUGAAUCAUCGAAUUUUUGAACGCAAAUUGCACUCUCUGGUAUUCCGGGGAGUAUGCCUGUUUGAGGGUCAGUAUAAAUCAAAAUCGAGGUGUUGCUUAUGGUGCCGGCAUUGGAAUUGGGUUAUUUUUAAUAUUAAUAAUUGUUUAAAGUGAACUAAAAUUGAUGAUACUCCGUGCAUGUCAAUAGGUACCUAAGACUUUUUUUUUAUCUGUGAGG